GCGAAGGUGGCGGAAUUGGUAGACGCGCUAGCUUCAGGUGUUAGUGUUCUUGCGGACGUGGGGGUUCAAGUCCCCCCCCUCGCACCA
rnacentral:tRNA from 2 species